AUACAUACAGUGUGUGUGUGUGUGUGUGUGUGUGUGUACAUAUGUACACACACUACACACACACAAAUAGUGUGUAUUU